UCGCGGCGCUGCGCGCAGAAGGGUCUGGGCUCGAGCCUGCCUGGAGCCGCCGCCGUUGCAGAUCUUGGUGGUAGUAGCAAAUACUCCAGCGAGGCCCUGGAGGACUGAUGUGGAGAAGGGUUUCGUGUGAACAGCCGUUGCACACGAGUCAGUCGAUCCUAAGCCCUAGGAGAAAUCCGAUGCAAACGGCGAUGGGAAAAAUGAGACUGACUUGUAAGAAUGUAGUAAAGAGACCCAUUGAUCGGGCGAAAGGGAAUCCGGUUCCUAUUCCGGAACCCGGCAGCGGAACCGUUGUUUGUCGGGCCCUCGCAAGGGGUUCGUCAGGGCAACCUAAAAGGGCCCGGAGACGCCGUCGGGGGCCCCGGAAAGAGUUUUCUUUUCUGCACGCGCGUUCGAGUUCCCUGGAAUCCUCUCGCAGGGAGAUAGGGUUUGGAACUCGAAAAGCACCGCAGUUGCGGCGGGGGGCGGGAAUUCCCAACUGACCUUGAAAAUCCGGGAGAGGGCCACGUGGAGGUGUCACGCCGGCUCGUACCCAUAUCCGCAAUAGGUCUCCAAGGUGAAUAGCCUCUAGUC
rnacentral:rRNA from 1 species